rnacentral:rRNA from 1 species
GACGAACGCUGGCGGCGUGCUUAACACAUGCAAGUCGAACGGAAAGGCCCUGCUUGCAGGGUACUCGAGUGGCGAACGGGUGAGUAACACGUGGGUGAUCUGCCCUGCACUUCGGGAUAAGCCUGGGAAACUGGGUCUAAUACCGGAUAGGAGCCAUUUUUAGUGUGAUGGUUGGAAAGUUUUUUCGGUGUAGGAUGAGCUCGCGGCCUAUCAGCUUGUUGGUGGGGUAAUGGCCUACCAAGGCGGCGACGGGUAGCCGGCCUGAGAGGGUGGACGGCCACAUUGGGACUGAGAUACGGCCCAGACUCCUACGGGAGGCAGCAGUGGGGAAUAUUGCACAAUGGGCGCAAGCCUGAUGCAGCGACGCCGCGUGGGGGAUGACGGCCUUCGGGUUGUAAACUCCUUUCGCUAGGGACGAAGCUUUUUCUGACGGUACCUAGAUAAGAAGCACCGGCUAACUACGUG